rnacentral:lncRNA from 1 species
CUUCCAGAACUUGGGAUGCAAUUUUUAAAUGGUUAGACAUUCAACGUAUCUCCUUUGAUUGCAUUAAUGGUUUAUUUGAUCUAAUUGAUGUGAUUAGAGGAAGCGCCAAUAAAAUAAGAGUGAUAGAUGCUAUGGUUAACAUGUCUCUUUGGUACUUAUGGAGGUUUUGUGUAACACCUAGGUUUUCAUACCAUGUACACUCUAAAAAAUUUCAUUUCUCUUUUAAAAUUUUACAACAAUUUUGGUGUACAUCAGCAUUCUCGAAUACAAGUAGUUGUCACAAUGAUCAAACUGGCCUCAGGUACAGGAUCGAGCUGAGCGUGACAAUAAUAUACCUGCAAAAUAAAUCAUCAUAACAACAUAAGCCUCACGGCUUGGUGAAUAACAAUUACUACAACAUAAUCAAAUAAAUCAUAUUAAAUCACAUAAUGUUUCGUUUUCUUAAUUAUGUAGUAAUUAACAAUUUAUCUCUAAAUCAAUGAUUUAUUUCUCAGUCAAUAAUAAUAUUCUCAAUUAUAUGAUCUCUCUCUCUCUCUCUCUAUCUAUCUAUCUAUCUAUCUAUCUAUCUAUUUAUCUAUCAAUCAUGAUCUAUAUUUCCAUCACAAUCAAUCUAUCAACUACAAUCUAUAUCCCAGUUAUUCAUCUAUCAAGAAUAUAUCUCAUGAAUGAUCUAAUUCAUUAAGAAUCUAUCUUAUUAAUAGUAAAAUUCUAAAUCUGGUCAAUCACUUAAUUUUAUGGUCUCUCUCUCCCCUCUCUCUCAGUCAUGAUCAAAUUAUAAUAAUUUCUCUAUUAGUCAAACAUCCAUUUUUCAUUUAUAAUCAUUCCCUCAAUAAUGAUAUAUUUCUCGAUACACAUCUAUCAUUCAACAACAAUCAAGUAUAUAGAUCUUGGUAUAGUUUACAUAUCAUAUAUCACAAGUAUCAUAAUUAUCACAUAUAUCACAAAUCUAGUACAAACAAUUACUCAUGAAUGAUGUAUAUUUUUAAUUUGGUUUAUCUCUCAAUUAUAAACUAUCUCAUCAAUCAAAAUCAAUAUUUAAAUCAGAUAUUUAUCUCUUAUAAUAAUCGAAUUCUUUAAUAUCAAUCAAUUUAUCUUUGAUAAUUAAUCUUGUAAAUCGUGAAAUGUAUAUUACAGACAAUACAUCAAUGGAUGUCUGAGUAGUGUUACUCACCUGGUUAGUCGGCAGACUAAAUCCAGUCUCAGUUACUAUCCUUCGCUACCUAUCAGCUCGUCACAUGGUAACUCCUCAGUUUAUAUCGCAACUCGACCUUGUAUCAUCCGUACAAUGGUAUAAUUCCAUCAUAGUAAUUUCCCGCAAAGGACUCUCUAGCAUCAUCUCCGAUCUUGCUUGUGAAACUCCCUCAAAAGACACAAAAACUCUCGUAUUUAUAGCCAGGCACACACCACGUCGUGGCCUCAUAAGUGUCACAUUGUGACGAUAUAACACACUCCGAUCUCGACACAUAUUGUACUCUUCUUCCAUGUGUCUUGACUAUCUGAAUGAUGACAUGUCAUGGCUAUAUAUACACCACGUCGUGGUGACCAAUAAACUAUGGUUUUGACACGUAUGAAUCUCAAACAUUCUGAUGACUCAUCACUCGUCACGUCGUGACAUGCUCAUUGUCACACCGUGACAUACUCAAUGCCAUGUCGUGGUGAACAUUCAUCCACAUCAUGGGAAUCAAAAGUUGACUUUCUCAAAAUAGCAAUUUACUUUUGUAUCAACUUCAAACGACCAUAACUUUUUCAUACGAACUCCGCUUUCGAUGAUCCUUAUAUUCACAUAAUCCUCUUAAUAAUCUCUACAACAUUCCUCAAUCAUCUUUUGCUAAAUAACAUUACUCAAUCUAAAGUAACUCCUUGAUCUAUUUAUUCUACUCGUCUCUUUUAUUUUAUAUCUUUUGAAGUGAUACAUGGUUACAAAAGACAGGUAUUACAAGUCCCCCCCCCCUAAAAGAUUUCAUCCUCGAAAUCUCACUACGUAAGGGUAUAUCAAAUUAAAUCUCUUUUUAGUUGGCAGUAAUUCUCUUACUACUAUCCCAAAUCGAUUAUAGUAGUUGGCUCUUCUCAACUAAUAGUAUCCCUCUUAUUAUUAGCCAUUGUAUUAAACUAUAAUUACUCACUCAUCUCAUCUCUCAUAUGUUUCUCGUUAAAAAUGUAAUUUGAACUUUUAUUAUCCAAAAAGGACUCAAUAUCAUGCCUCAUUUCUCUUUAUACUCAACUAAAGGCUCAUCUUCCUUUUGCACUCAAAAUUUUCUCUUCACUCUUAUCUUGUCAUGCAUUCCCUUAUUUUAAACAACUUACUUAUUUCUCAUAUGUUUAAACACUUCUUGUGUCUUUAAUUUACUAUUCUUUUGAUCUAACUCUUUAGUAAUGAUCAAUUUUAAAUUUCUAGGGAAAAUACUCUGACCAUUACGAAUUGAUACUUCUCUUAAUCAUUAGCAUUUUUAUCAGUUAUCAAGAUCAAUCUAUAUUCCUACUAUUAUUCAAAAUAUUAAUUAUCUCACUCACAAAUGGUAGUAUUUCACAUAUCAUCCCUUGAAGUCGGCUAUUUUCUAAAUUACCGUUUAAUAUUUGACUUACAACUCAUUUUCCAAGCUACAAGUAUAUCACUAAUUGUCCAAUUUAUUAACUAGAAACGCUUAAAGUCUCUCACGUAAUGGUUAUCGACUGAGUACCUCACAAAUCUAUCUAUGGUAAAUCAUAUCUCAAAUUCUACCACUCAUUUCUCAAUAACUUUACUAGCCUGCAUAUCUCUCAAAUUAACCUUGUGUAUCUCUAUGAUACUCGCAAUAUAAUUAAUCCACUCGAAUAGCAAUAAAUCACUCAAAUCACUUGGGUUAAUCACUUAGAUUACUAUAAUUAAUGAUCUAUUGCUCAAUUUAAUUCUUUAUAUUACUAGCCUAACUAGUCAACAAAUCACAAUGGAAGAAUAAUUAUGAUGUAGGAUUUAAUUUGUUAUUAUGAGUGUUGUACAAUGUUAAUCACACUAGUGGUCUUAUAAAUAAAACUCAAAUGGAUGGGCAGUGGCGAGACUAUGUAUCUUAAAAGUAGUCACUCGUCUACCUAUUUUUUAUGCAAAAUUAUAAAGAAAUAAAAAUCAUGAACUACUUUAAAUACUUUAAGUUAAUAAUCUUGAUGUUUUUAGAAAAAAAAAAUAUACAUAUAAAUCAAGAUUUCCAAAGCUCAUCUUUGAUUUUUUUUUUCAUUUUCUAUCGGUUUCAUUUAAAUGAUGAACCAUGUGAUUUUUGCGUACUAGACUCGCCAUUGUGUAGGGGUAUAUGUGUUAACUACUUUAAAUACUUUAAGUUAAUUAUCUUAACGAUGAUUUGAGUGGAGUUUUGGAAGGAGAUUGAAUAAAUGAAGCUAUAAGAGAGUUGUUUAAGAUUUGGAAUGUAUGAAUCUCCUUUAUCUUGUAUUCUGGAUUUAAAUCAUAAACCCUUGUUCAACGAUGAAAACCGAGUUCACGAUUUGAUAUAUUCUUUGUGUUUGUUUUUAUGUUAUAAACUUGUUACAAAUCGCUAAUAUAUCAACAUUUCACCGUUAAAGUGUUUGAUUUCAUUUCUAGUAAUAAAAUUAAGGAAUUCGAACCUUGACCGGUGAUGAUGUGUACUCUAGCAUUAAUGAAUUAUAUAAAAGCUUUAGAUCAUGAAUUUGAAACUAAGAGGUGUUUGGCUAAGCUUAUGUAAUGAGCUUUUUAAGUUAUUAUCGGUUACAUACCCGUAUAAGUCAAAACCCCUGUUUAGAUAAAGACUUUUUAAUAAAUAGUUUAUAACGGUUCCACACCGGAAAUAAGUCAUUUUGUAUAAGUCACUCCACGCUAACUUAUCAAAAGUUUGUCAAACACUUUUCUUUUGAAGAAAUUCGAGAGACAUUUCAUAAUCCAAGAAGCCAUCGUCAAUAAAGGCAAUACUUAUCCAAGGGGAUUAAAAUAAUUUUUUUUUGGGGAUAAUGUCACUGUAGCACAAUAAAGUUAUGAGUUUGGUCCGAUUUGACAGUUUUUUUGCGCAAUAGGUCAUCUAACUUUUAAUGUACAUGUUAAUUAAGCCAUUAUCGUUAGUUGCUAACCGUUUCUCCAUUAACCAGUUAUUCUAAACUACAUGAACGACCCUUAUGGUUAAAAUUCUAUUCGCAGUUGGUCCCUUACUAGCUAUAGCUUCAGUUAUACAACCAAAACUGCCACAUUUUUAAAACUCUAGGGACCAAAUUAAGUGUAAAUUUCUUAUACUCUAUCCCAUUAAAUCAUUGAUUGCCCUUUUCUUGAUCUGCGUUUAAAAUCGAAACCCCCGUAGGAAUAGCUUCGUUGGAACUAAUCGACACACUAGUGUUUGAAAUUAAAAUCCAGUUGUACCAUACAGUGAUACAACACUUUAGAUUUGAUGAUAGUGAAGAGGAGUUUUCAAAUUUGGGUUGUGAAGGAUGAAAUCGGCAUCCAAAUCGUCGGAAAUUAGAAUACCUAGUACUGGUUGAGUAUGGAAGUUGGAUAUGGUUAGCAUUUGGAGAUGGAAUUGGGGAUUAGUGAUGAAGAUGAGCACCUACCUUAUUAAGAGGAUUAAGAUACCAAUCCAGAGGAUAUAACUGAGGAGGAGUCCGAGUUGUUUGAAUACGUAUAGAUUAGAACAAUGUCAGAGUUUCGGUUGCCGGUGACAAAGGGAGGUGGAUCCGCCGUUGAAUUUCUAUGUAGGAUUGAUGAUUGGUAAGUGGUUAUAAGAUGAAAUCAAUUAAAAUAUAAUAUGUUUGGAAUCCGCCGAAUCUUCAACAACGAGUUUCACUAAUGAGCAAAGCAAUUGGAAAUCUGACAAUUUCUUUUUAGGUGUGUUUGGUUUGUUUUAGAAAUAAUCAACGUAAACAUUUAACUUUUAUAUUUCUCUUUAACCCCUCAAAUCGAUCAGUUCCAACGAAGCUAUUCCUAAGGGGGUUUUGGUUUCAAACGCAUAUCAAGAAAAAGGCAAUCAAGGAUUUAAGGGGGAAGAAUAUAAGAAAUUUACACUUUAGUCCACAGAGUUUUAGAAAUGCUUCUGUCUUGGUUAUAUAAUUGAAACUAUAGCACGUAAGGGACCAACUAUGAAUAAAAUUUUAACCAUAGGGGUCGUUUGUAUAGUUUAGAAUAAUUAGUUAAUGGAUGAAUGGUUAAAAACUAUAGAUGAUGGUUUGAUGAAAAUGUACACUAAAAGUUAAAUGACCUAUUGUGUAAAAAAAAUGGUCAAACCAGACCAAACCCAUAACUUCAUUCUGCUACCGUGAUGUUAUUCCUUUUUGGGGUAAGAUCGAAUUAUCUUGUUCAUGGUAGUUAUGAAUUGUUUGAAUGACCCGUGACCAAAACGAAACAUCAUCAUUUUUUGCUUUCGGCCACCAUUUAGCAAGUAGCCAAAGAUUAAAAAUAGUCCAAGACAUCCACAAGAAUCUUCUACGAAUGCAUUCCAAGGAAUCACUAAGGGUGCGUUUGGUUGUGGAAAAUUUUCCAGUUUUCUAGGAAUUUUUUUCAAGAAAAAUAGAAAUUUUGAAAACGUGUUUGGUUCGUUCAGUUUUACAAAAUUUUCCAAGAAAAUGAAAAUUUUCAGUUUUCCAAAUUGUAUGUAAAUUAGAAAAGUGAUUUUUAUAGUUUUCCAAAAUUUUAAGAUGGAAAAUGAAAACUCCCUCGGUUUCAACCAAACGCGUUUUCUAAAAUUUUCAUUGAAAUUUGAAAUUUUAUUUUCUAAGAAAAUGUUGUGCGUUUGGUUGUAGAAAAAUUUUCAGUUUUCUAGGAAAAUUUUCCAAUAAAAACGGAAAUUUUGAAAACGUAUUUGGUUCGUUCAGUUUCCCAAAAUUUUCCAAGAAAAUGAAAAUUUUCAGUUUUCCAAAUUGUAUGUAAAUUAGAAAAAUGAUUUUUAUAGUUUUCCAAAAUUUUCAAGAUGGAAAAUGAAAACUCCCUCGGUUUCAACCAAACGCGUUUUCUAAAAUUUUCAUUGAAAAUUGAAGGCGAAAACUCAACUCUAUUUUCUGAAAACAUUUUCUUAGAAAAUAAAAACAAUUUUUUACAACCAAACGCACCCUAAGUUUUUUAUAAGCUUUCAAAUUAGAGGAAUAACAUAAUGGUAGGUUUUCAAGAACCGACUUUACAAGUUUACCUCACACCAAAAGAAUGUGCUUUAGGCUUUAUUUCCAACAACUAAGCUUUGAAUUAAAUCAGUUGGUUUCCAAUUCAUGUCCACUUUCAAUAUUUCAUAUUGGAACCUAUUAACAAUCCAAAUUCCAAAAUAAAAUUAGAGGUUUCACAAAAGAGGUGGUUUGCUUAACUGGCCCACUGGCCCAUUUACUGAUUCUCAAAUCUCAAUUGACAAUGCUAAGUAGUGCAAAGUGCAAACAAAUCCUAAUGUUGGGCUUAAUGGGCUUAAGUAAAGCAUGAAAAACAUUACUAUUAUAAACUGAUAUAAGCUCAAUGUGGGUGAUAAAUCAAUCUGAACCGUCCCUCCCCCCGACAGAUCCUAACCGUUGAUUCGUUUUAGGUUUUCAAUACCAUUUCUUUAUAAAUCUACAAAAAGAUAGAAACGAUAAACCCCAAAGCAAUUCUAGGGUUUUGAAGACAGUCAACUCCAAUAUCGCCGAUCUGUAUAUCUUCGUUUUCUUUUUCUCAGAUUUGUCAAAUAAAGGUAAUUAAUUGUGCAGUUUCUGCUCGGGUUUUGCGUUUACGCAUUGUAAGUUACUUUGAUUCAUUGUAGAUUCGGUUUUUACCUCAAACUUCAAUGUGGCAAUAGCGAUGUUGUUAGCAUACGACUAAAAAAUUUGUCAUUUACAUCGUAGAAUUCCUUAAUAAUAUGGAUUUUAUUCAUUCAAAUGUCACCAACACAGCAAAUUGGUUUUUCAAUAUCUAAUUUGUGUCUGAAGGUGACGAUAUAGAUCAUAUCUUGAUAUGUUAUUUUCUUCGCUGUAGAUAAUAGUUUAUACUUUAUAUGCUAUCUAACCAUAGCGAGGAUGGAUGAUUAGGAUUUAUAUAUCGUUACUCUUAUAUACAUAAUUUUAAAGUUAUAAAAUUUUAUAUGUUUUUAAUGUAUCAUUGUAGGGUAUAUGUAACCUAUGUAUGCAAUGGUAUAUUGGUAUGUCAUCCUUAAAGCAAAUAGGCUAAUUCUAAUGCCAACUUUGUGUCGGAAGAUGACUAAAUCAACAAAGAUUGUAGGUUGUUUUACUAAUGAAGAGUUACACUCCAUUGGUAUGCUUGCACCUUUGACAUUGAUGUAUACAAAUUAAUUGUAGAGAACAUCUCUUUACAAGCACAAUAAUAUUAAUAAUUCAUUUGAAAGAUGUUCAACAUCAAAUUCAAAAUCAGGAAUGACUAAAACUCUAUUUAGUAAGCAGCAAUUUGCUGAGUUUUUAUAUUUGUAUUCAAGAAGCUGAAUAACAUAAAGUAAUCAAUUUUAUAAAACUGAAAAGGAAACAACAUCGUGGCAUUGACAUAUUGCGACAAUCACCAUCACCUGGAACCAAACACCCAGAUUCAAAAACACCUCUACCAAACUGUUUAGGAAAACGCCUUUACAAGUGUAAAUCUUUUAAAUCUGUUUGGGCAAAUAUUAUUAACAUUAGACCAAAGUUCCAAAUUUUAACAUCAUGGGUAAUUUGAGAAAUUUUUGAUGUUUAGUUUUAGUUUGAACCUGACAAAGGUUUUUAUUUUUUUGUAAUUUUCAUUUCAGCAAAGCUCACUCAAACAACUGUCAUUUCAACUAUUUUAUUUUCAAAAAGCUUUUUAACCAAAUCCCUUUCAACCAAUCCCUUCUAAACAAAAAAUUGUUCAAUGAUCCUUCAAAAGAUGUAGGUAUCGUUAAAGAAUACUAAACUGUCCGGACAACUAUUGAAUACCUUAAGGAACAAAAAGGGGCAAUAAAAACCAUGGCGCAAAAGUAGCUAAAUUAGCCAAUGGAUGUUCUUGGAUGUCUAUCAAGACUGAUAAUGUUGCUGUGAUAAUCUGAAAACAUGGUGGUUUUUAGAAAUGGGUUUUGGGUUAUUUCCAUGUGGAAAUUUAUAGGAUAAAUUUGUUCACCGGAAAAAGAAUAAUGAUUUUUAAGGGUAAAUAUAUUUUAGGUUUUAUUAAUGUUCUUUAAGUUAUUUUUUGUCCAUAUAUUAUUGUUUAACUUAUUUGAUCUGAUCAUGUUAUGUAUUUAUUAUGACUUGGUGGUGUAUGUUUUAGCUAUAGCUAUAAGGAUAUAAUUUGAACAAAUCAAACAAGUUUAAGAAUAAUAUAUGGAUAAAACAUCAUGAGUGACUAAGGGGGUGUUUGGAUUAGCUUUUUAGUUUAUUGUUUAUAGUUUAUUUGUGGUGGGAAUAAACAAACACUCAAAUUAGCUUGUUGUGGAAAUAAACAGUAAGUAUUUCUUUUUUUCCUAUCCAAAUACCCCCUAAAUGUGAAUAAAAGUGUAGCUCUAACUCUUUCUAUCAUAGUUUAUUCAGGUCACCAGAGAAAUGAUUUGAAAAUUUGUCACUAGAGAAACGAUUUGAAAAUUUUUAGUACUUGUUUGAUCAGAGUGUAUAGUAUGAAGGAAGUAAAAGCUUGGUGUGGAAUCGGAACUUGGUUAAACCAAUAAAGAGCAUUGUUAACUUGACCGAUUAAACUAUACCUAGUGUUGGCUUGGGGUGGAAUCGGAACUUGGUUAAACCAAUAAAGAGCAUUGUUAACUUGACCGAUUAAACUAUACCUAGUGUUGGCUUGGGGUGGAAUCGGAACUUGGUUAAACCAAUAAAGAGCAUUGUUAACUUGACCGAUUAAACUAUACCUAGUGUUGGUUGUGAUUUUGGGUUAAUUAUAUGGUUGGAACUGAUAUGUUAACUAGUUGUAGGGGUGACAAAUCAGGUCAUCGCGUUGUGUUUUUGUCUAACACGGCACGAUAAAGUUUUAUGUAACACGAACGCGAAACGAUCUCGGGUUUUUUUAAACCAACACGAAAACAAAUCGAUUAAAAAAUGACAAACGUGAUACGACCCGAAAAAUAUAAUAUGAAAUAACAAUUAAUGCAUUUCAUUAAUAUUUAUUCAUACAUAACAUGAAAAACUUAAAAAGACGACAAAAAAAUGUUAAGUCGUGUCAAAUUUUGAACACAAACAUGACACAACGCUGUGUUUUUUACACUCGAUAUGAAUAUGCAUGAAUUUAAAUUCCAGUUUCGUUUCAAUUUCGUUUCGUAUCAUCAAUUGUCACCCUUAAUUAGUUGUUACAACUAGUUAAUACUUAACCUAAC